CACAAAUAUUAGAAUCAGCAAAUAAAAGGAUCUGUACCAGAUUGAUUAGACGACAUUUAGCUAGGGAGAAAUAUUAUAUAAGAACUGUGUAUUUAUAACUAACUUCGCAGAAAAGGUUAACAUACACAAAAUCACAAGAAAAACAGUUGGUGUGUUAUACCGACGCAGACUGAGCAUACGACAAGGAAGACAGAAAAGGCGAACUAUCUCACCUAUCCA